UAAAGUAAAAUGUUGAUUUGCGUUUGUUAUAAUUGCUAUAUACUGGAUUAAUAGGAUUUGAUCUUGAUUUCCAUUACCAAAACGAAUGAUUCACUCCGCGUGUUUCCCCGACAAAGCGUCCCUGUAAACCAAAUACGUAAACUCUGCCACAAAAACUUGCUCGAACCAUAUUUCAAACGUAUCUUCCCCACCACCGAACUCGUCUAAAACGUUCCGUUCGACCUACCACCCGGUCGAGCCAGCAAACAGGAACAAAAAGAAACAAAACGGACAACGUAUCCGGCAACGAUACACCGAUUGAUGGCCAUUGUCCUCACACGACUCGAGGUCCGGGACGAUUCUCUUCUCCGCGUGUUCUCUGCACCGGCAAUGAUGUAUGGCGCGACUGCACUUUAGCGACUCAGCCGGUGGAAUUUUGUCCCCCGGGAGCUGGCAGACGUUUAGGAGGAAAAAACAGGCGACAAGGA